rnacentral:rRNA from 1 species
UACGUAGGGAGCAAGCGUUGUUCGGAUUUACUGGGCGUAAAGGGCGCGUAGGCGGCGCGGUAAGUCACUUGUGAAAUCUCUGAGCUUAACUCAGAACGGCCAAGUGAUACUGCAGUGCUAGAGUGCAGAAAGGGCAAUCAGAAUUCUUGGUGUAGCGGUGAAAUGCGUAGAUAUCAAGAGGAAUACCUGAGGCGAAGGCGGGUUGCUAGGCUGACACUGACGCUGAGGCGCGAAAGCUAGGGGAG